AAAAAAGCAUAGAGGGGAUGCCUAGGCAUUAAUUAAUAUUUUUAGGACGUAAUAAAAACGAAAAGCUAUAUGGAAUAAUAAUUUAUUUAUAUAUAUAGAUUUCCUAAAGAAAACUUUUUCUUUGUGAAAAUUUUAAACAUAGUGAAUUGAAAUAUCUUAGUAACUAUUGAAGAAAUCAAACGAGAUUCCGUAAGUAAUGACGAGUGAACAUGGAAAAUAGGUUAUAAAAAAAAUUUAUAUGAAAUAUGUAUAUUCCGAAAAAUUUGAAAAAAUUUACAUUAAAAGGUUAUAGUCCUGUAGGAUGUCAUUCAUAAAAUAUUCAAUUAUUUUAUUUUUUUAUAAGUAAAAAGAGGUAUGUGUAAUCUUUUUUGAAGAUUGGGGGACCACCCUCAAAACCUAUAAAAUAAUUAAUGACCGAUAGUGAACAAGUACUGUAAAGGAAAGGUGAAAAAGAGCUUUCGAGUUUGAAAUAAUUCUGAAACUCUAUGCUAAUAAUCAAUUGGAGCUUUUUAAUAAAGUGACAAUGUACCUUUUGCAUAAUGGGCCAGCAAGUUUAUUUUUUUAGCAAGCUUAAUUUAUUAAUAAAAUAGGCGUAGAGAAAUCAAGUUUUAAAAAGCUUAAAUAAGUUAUGAAAAUAAGACCCGAAACUGAGUGAUCUAAUUAUGAACAGAUUGAAGAAUAGGUAAAACUAUUUGGAGGAUCGAACCCACGUAUGUGGCAUUAUACGGGGAUGAUUUGUGAUUAGGGGUGAAAGGCCAAUCAAACUCAGAGAUAGCUGGUUUUCCGCGAAAUCUAUUGAAGUAGAGCAUUUAAAAAUCUUUUUUUGGGGUAGAGCACUCAUUAAGCUAGGGGGGUUAAAACCUUACUGAACUUUUAGAAACUCCGAAUACAAAAACAAGUAUUUAAAUAGACAGACAUUGGGCGCUAAGGUCCAUUGUCGAGAGGGAAACAGCCCAGAUUGAACGCUAAGGUCCUUAAAUAAUUUUCUAAGUGAUAAAGGAAGUGAAAAAAUAAAGACAACCAAUAGGUAGGCUUGGAAGCAGCCAUCCUUUAAAGAAAGCGUAAUAGCUCAUUGGUCUAGUUUUUUUGCACCGAAAAUGUAUCGGGACUAAAGAAAUUUACCGAAGCGUCAAGUUUACUAAAUAAUAGUAAACGGUAGCGGAACAUUCUGUAUGUUGUUAAAGAUAUGUUGUUAAAUAUAUUGAAGAUAUCAGAAUAGAAAAUGCUGGCAUUAGUAACAAAAAAUAAUGACAAGAAUCAUUAUCACCGAAAAUCCAAGGGUUUCUAUGUUAAGAUUAACUACAUAGAGUUAGACGGCCCCUAAGCAGAACUUGACGAAAGCAAGCUGUGAUGGGAAAAUUUUGAAAUUAAAUUUCUAAUAAAAAGUGACAAAAUAGUAAUAUUUUCAAGAAACAACUUUUUUUAAUAAAUAUUUAAAAUAUAAAUAGUGCUAGAAUUCUUUUAAUAAGAAAUAAUAAAAUAAAAGGCAAGUAAUAUCUUAUUUAUUUAAGAAAAUAAUUAUAUGUUAAAAUAAUUAUACAGCCCACCUAGCUAUAGAAAAACCUUAGUGUUGAGUAACAUUUUAUAUUUUAAUAUUGAAAACCGUACCCUAAACCAACACAGGUGGAUAGGUCGAGUAGACCAAGGUGUAUGAGAUAAUUAUGUUGAAGGAACUCGGCAAAAUGACUCUGUAACUUCGGGAGAAAGAGUACCUUAUAUGAAUCAACGUUUAUAUAAGGUGGCACAGAAUUGGGGGUUGCGACUGUUUAAUAAAAACACAGGACUCUGCUAAAUCGUAAGAUGAUGUAUAGGGUCUGACACCUGCCCGGUGCUGGAAGAUUAAUAGGAGAUGUUUACGCAUUGAAUGAAAGUCCCAGUAAACGGCGGCCGUAACUCUGACGGUCCUAAGGUAGCGAAAUUCCUUGUCGGGUAAGUUCCGACCUGCAUGAAUGGUGUAACGACAUCCCCGCUGUCUCCAACAUAAACUCAGUGAAUUUGAAUUAUCCGUGAAGAUGCGGAUUCUCUAUAGUUAGACGGAAAGACCCCGUGAACCUUUACUACAUCUUUAUACUGUUAUCUUAUAAAAUAUGUGUAGAAUAAGUGGUAAUCUUAGACCUUCACGCCAGUGAAUUGUUUAGAUUUCUUUGAAAUACCACUCUUAUUAUUAUAAAUAACUAAUAUUUUUUUUUAAAUAGACCGUGUAUGGUUGGUAGUUUGACUGGGGCGGUCACCUCCCAAAGAGUAACGGAGGUGUACAAAGGUAAGCUCAAAUUGGCAAUAUAUCAAUUGUGGAAUGUAAUGGUACAAGCUUGCUUGACUGUAAGAUAGACAUAUCAAACAGGGACGAAAGUCGGUCAUAGUGAACCGAUAAUUCUUUGUGGAAAGAUUAUCGCUCAACGGAUAAAAGGUACUCCGGGGAUAACAGGCUGAUGACUCCUAAGAGCUCCUAUCGACGGAGUCGUUUGGCACCUCGAUGUCGACUCAUCACAUCCUGGAGCUGAAGAAGGUUCCAAGGGUUCGGCUGUUCGCCGAUUAAAGUGGUACGUGAGUUGGGUUUAGAACGUCGUGAGACAGUUUGGAUCCUAUCUUCUAUAGAUAUUUUGAAAAAUGAAAGACUCUAAUUCUAGUACGAGAGGACCGAAGAGGAUAAAUCUCUGGUGUAUCGGUUGUUCUAUAUGGGCAGCGCCGAGUAGCUAAAUUUAUAUUGGAUAAUUGCUGAAAGCAUCUAAGCAAGAAACCGUUCUUAAAAUUUUUUCAUAAAAUUGUUUUAGACUAAAACUUUGAUAGGUGAAAAGUGUAAAUAUUGUAAAAUAUGUUAGCUUAUUCAUACUAAUUAUUUUUAAAAAAUAUAUUUU
rnacentral:rRNA from 1 species